CCGGAAAUGAGUGGCUAUAUAACAUUCAUUCAUCUACAACUUCAACCAAACCAUCUCAGUCCUCGGUUAAGCCGGUUCUAUAUCCUCCUAGUCCGCUGCCAUCAUUUAAAACGUCAUUCACGGCCCAAAAACCAUCUCCAUCACCUAAAGGACUGACACCACCUAAAUCAACCACACCGUCUCCGAAACCCUCUUCCUCGUCUUCUAAGCCAUGUCCAUCCCUUAAGCCAACUCUAUCGGAACUAGGGAAAGGAACGUACAAAGCAGUCUAUCCAAAGGAUGCGUUACCGAUUUACAUGAUUCCGAAGGAUAUCGAGGAUUUAAUCAAGAGAGACAUUGUGCCUGAAGUUUUGGGAUUGACAUCACCUAAACCAACCACACCGUCUCCGAAACCCUCUUCAUCGUCUUUUAAGCCAAGUCCAUCCCUUAAGCCAACUCUAUCGGAACUAGGGAAAGGAAAGUACAAAACACUCAAUCCAGAGGAUACAUUACCGAUUAAGCCGGUUCUAUAUCCUCCUAGUCCGCUGCCAUCAUUUAAAACAUCAUUCACGGCCCAAAAACCAUCUCCAUCACCUAAAGGACUGACACCACCUAAAUCAACCACACCAUCUCUGAAACCCUCUUCAUCGUCUUGUAAGCCAAGUCCAUCCCUUAAGCCAACUCUAUCGGAACUAGGGAAAGGAAAGUACAAAACAGUCGAUCCAAAGGAUAUGUUACCGAUUUACAUGAUUCCGAAGGAUAUCGAGGAUUUAAUCAAGAGAGACACUGUGCCUGAAAUUUUGAAGAAGCCAUUGUCUGCCUCUUCAUAUCAGGAUUUCUUUGCAGCCCUUCUAUAUGCUGAGGAUUC
rnacentral:lncRNA from 1 species